GCCGCUGGUAUAUUAAUGAGGACUUGCCAGAGAUGAAUGCCUUCUGUGCUAGCCUGGUGGAAGGACUUCCUGCUAUUGCUUCUCAAGUUACAGGAGACCAGGCACUUGUUCCAGCGCCUGUUCGUGAACCUCCUGUUGAAUUGAGUGUUCGGGAGCUGCUUGCCCUUGAUCCGUUUAACAAUAUG